UACGUAGGGGGCAAGCGUUGUCCGGAAUCAUUGGGCGUAAAGAGCGCGUAGGCGGUCCGGUAAGUCCGCUCUGAAAGCCCAGGGCUCAACCCUGGGAGGCGGGUGGAUACUACGGAACUGGAGUACGGAAGAGGAGAUUGGAAUUCCUGGUGUAGCGGUGAAAUGCGCAGAUAUCAGGAGGAACACCAACAGCGAAGGCAGAUCUCUGGGACGUUACUGACGCUGAGACGCGAAAGCGUGGGGAGCAAACAGG
rnacentral:rRNA from 1 species